rnacentral:rRNA from 1 species
ACCGAGUCUUAAUAGGGCGCAUUAGUAUUAUGUCGUAGACCCGAAACCAUGUGACCUACCCAUGAGCAGGUUGAAGGUGCGGUAAGACGCACUGGAGGACCGAACCAGGGCACGUUGAAAAGUGCUUGGAUGACUUGUGGGUAGCGGAGAAAUUCCAAACGAACUUGGAGAUAGCUGGUUCUCUCCGAAAUAGCUUUAGGGCUAGCGUCGACAUUUGAGAAUCUUGGAGGUAGAGCACUGUUUGGAUGAGGGGGCCAUCUCGGUUUACUGAUUUCAGAUAAACUCCGAAUGCCAAUGAUUUAUGGUCGGCAGUCAGACUGCGAGUGCUAAGAUCCGUAGUCGAAAGGGAAACAGCCCAGACCACCAGCUAAGGUCCCAAAAUAAUUGUUAAGUGGAAAAGGAUGUGGGGUUGCACAGACAACUAGGAUGUUAGCUUAGAAGCAGCUAUUCAUUCAAAGAGUGCGUAAUAGCUCACUAGUCGAGUGACCCUGCGCCGAAAAUGUACCGGGGCUAAAACAAUUUACCGAAGCUGUGGAUAACACAUUAGUGUUAUGGUAGGAGAGCGUUCUAUGUGUGAAGAAGGUAUACCGUGAGGAGUGCUGGAACGCAUAGAAGUGAGAAUGCCGGUAUGAGUAGCGAAAGAUGGGUGAGAAUCCCAUCCACCGUAAGACUAAGGUUUCCAGGGGAAGGCUCGUCCGCCCUGGGUUAGUCGGGACCUAAGGAGAGACCGAAGGGUGUAUCCGAUGGACAACAGGUUGAUAUUCCUGUACUAGAGUAUGAAGUGAUGGAGGGACGCAGUAGGCUAACUAAAGCGGGCGAUUGGAAGUGCCCGUCUAAGCAGUGAGGUGUGAUAUGAGUCAAAUGCUUGUAUCUAUAACAUUGAGCUGUGAUGGGGAGCGAAGUUAAGUAGCGAAGUUAGUGACGUCACACUGCCGAGAAAAGCUUCUAGCGAUGUAUCAUACUCUACCCGUACCGCAAACCGACACAGGUAGUCGAGGCGAGUAGCCUCAGGUGAGCGAGAGAACUCUCGUUAAGGAACUCGGCAAAAUGACCCCGUAACUUCGGGAGAAGGGGUGCUGACUUAAAGUCAGCCGCAGUGAAUAGGCCCAAGCAACUGUUUAUCAAAAACACAGCUCUCUGCUAAAUCGUAAGAUGAUGUAUAGGGGGUGACGCCUGCCCGGUGCUGGAAGGUUAAGAGGAGGGUUUAGCGCAAGCGAAGAUCUGAAUUGAAGCCCCAGUAAACGGCGGCCGUAACUAUAACGGUCCUAAGGUAGCGAAAUUCCUUGUCGGGUAAGUUCCGACCCGCACGAAAGGCGUAAUGAUUUGGGCACUGUCUCAACGAGAGACUCGGUGAAAUUUUAGUACCUGUGAAGAUGCAGGUUACCCGCGACAGGACGGAAAGACCCCAUGGAGCUUUACUGCAGUUUGAUAUUGAGUAUCUGUACCACAUGUACAGGAUAGGUAGGAGCCUAUGAAGUCGGGACGCCAGUUUCGACAGAGGCGCUGUUGGGAUACUACCCUUGUGUUAUGGCUACUCUAACCCGGAUAGGUUAUCCCUAUCGGAGACAGUGUCUGACGGGCAGUUUGACUGGGGCGGUCGCCUCCUAAAAGGUAACGGAGGCGCCCAAAGGUUCCCUCAGAAUGGUUGGAAAUCAUUCGCAGAGUGUAAAGGUAUAAGGGAGCUUGACUGCGAGAGCUACAACUCGAGCAGGGACGAAAGUCGGGCUUAGUGAUCCGGUGGUUCCGUAUGGAAGGGCCAUCGCUCAACGGAUAAAAGCUACCCUGGGGAUAACAGGCUUAUCUCCCCCAAGAGUUCACAUCGACGGGGAGGUUUGGCACCUCGAUGUCGGCUCGUCGCAUCCUGGGGCUGUAGUCGGUCCCAAGGGUUGGGCUGUUCGCCCAUUAAAGCGGCACGCGAGCUGGGUUCAGAACGUCGUGAGACAGUUCGGUCCCUAUCCGUCGCGGGCGUAGGAAAUUUGAGAGGAUCUGCUCCUAGUACGAGAGGACCAGAGUGGACUUACCGCUGGUGUACCAGUUGUCUUGCCAAAGGCAUCGCUGGGUAGCUAUGUAGGGACGGGAUAAACGCUGAAAGCAUCUAAGUGUGAAACCCACCUCAAGAUGAGAUUUCCCAUAACUUUAUGUUAGUAAGAGCCCUGAGAGAUGAUCAGGUAGAUAGGUUGGAAGUGGAAGUGUGGCGACACAUGUAGCGGACCAAUACUAAUCGCUCGAGGACUUAUCCAAA